UGCUUGAUGAACUGAUCCGCCACCGCCUCCAGGUUAAAAACCUACCCGUGCUGCAAUCGGCAUCAAGCACACCAGCAUGCUCACUUCGCCUCCAGUGGCACCGGUCUCCACAUAGUUGCGCUCGAGCUCGAAAUCUGCUCCACGUUUUGCCCCUCCACUCGAUUUGAUUGCAUCUCGCUCAAGCCCACUAAUUUGUUGGAUUCCGCAUGCAAGCGAGUUUAUUGGAUUCUGCGUCUUGAUCGUUGAAGCUAUGAGAAAGCAGCGAUCAUCACGUUUGCUGCCUACGGACGCUGUAACAUGUAUUUGCUACCCUGGAGUCUCCGCUGAUUUAGUCAGAUACACAGGAAUUUUCUCCAGGUAUCGUCAUCUUGGGUGUUCCCAAUGUGAAAUAAUAGUAACGUACCAUUGAAAAAAAAAUAGCAACGUUGCUUUUCGGCUCUGCUGUUUCAGAAAUUUUCGGGAGUUGGGUUAAGGCUAUCUCAGGACCCAAGUUAAGCUACCCUAUAUGCAACUAGGGUUGACGGCACUGUAUGUUUAUCCUUUGAUCUGAAUUUUAUAUGGUGCUUUUAUCCAACAUGCAAUUUAGGUAACUGGUGUUUUUAUGAAGCUGGAGAAACAAAUACAGAUCCACUAUUGCAAAGAAUAUUUGA